AUUGAACGCUGGCGGCAGGCUUAACACAUGCAAGUCGAACGAGCGGCGGACGGGUGAGUAAUGCUUGGGAAUCUAGCUGAUGGAGGGGGAUAACUACGGGAAACUGUAGCUAAUACCGCGUACCAUAGGAUGAGCCCAGAUGGGAUUAGGUAGUUGGUGGGGUAAUGGCUCACCAAGGCGACGAUCCCUAGCUGGUCUGAGAGGAUGACCAGCCACACUGGAACUGAGACACGGUCCAGACUCCUACGGGAGGCAGCAGUGGGGAAUAUUGCACAAUGGGCGCAAGCCUGACGCAGCCAUGCCGCGUGAGUGAAGAAGGCCUUCGGGUUGUAAAGCACUUUCAGCGGGGAGGCGUUACCCGCAGAAGAAGCACCGGCUAACUCCGUGCCAGCAGCCGCGGUAAUUC
rnacentral:rRNA from 1 species